CGAACUCGGGCGCGCUCCCUCCGUCCAAUGGGCAGGCUAACGGGGCGGGACAAAGGAAGCGCGCCCUCGCCUCGUGCGCUCCCCCACGCCUUCAGGCUGAGGUUUCCACGUAAUGGUGGAGUUUCAGGGCGGCCAAGCCAGAAAGCCAUGCCGAGGUCCUCCCGCGUGCUUCGCAGGAGCUCCGGCGCAGAGGACGUAGGGAGAAAAGGUUCCCUCAACCUCUGCCUCCUUCGUGGGGCUCCUACCACGACCACCCGCGCGCCCGCUUCCCAAGCCUGACGAGCCCCGGGCCCCGCGAUUCUAAGACAUGACUGGAAAGCCCUGCUUCUGUUGGAAGCUACUGCGGCUGAGGUAUCCACAAGUAAGUAAUGUGAUGUAUUGAUGACCCUCCCCAAGAAUGAAGACCCCAAGUUAGAGCCCCUGGUUGCCUUGUCUCCCAGAACUAAAUACUCUUACAGUGAACUCGUCUCUGGGAGGUAUACCAGGUGUUACCUUGACUAUUUACAGCAUGAGGAGACCUAAUAGCAUUUCAAAUCCAAAACAUUAUUCUGUACCUGUGUCUGAACUUCUCCCUGCCGCUACUCAAGCAACAACUAAGAAGUAAUAUAUUUCCCAGGCCCUCUAAUAACACCUUCCUACGUUUGUUUGGAGAAUGCUUUUCAUUUGACUCCACCAGAAAUUAUGUAAAUACAUUUACUUUUAGUUCAAAACAAAUUAAUCUUGGGUAAUUUCACAUUGCACUUCAGAGAUUUGCCUUUAUCAGGCAACCCACAGAUGAGAAAAUCAUUCCUUACCCACAAACGCUUUAUGCUGCUGAGAAUCUCUGCCUGGCACUUUUCUACUAACCACAUUGUUGCCUAAUGAGAUAUAGACUGUAACAAAAAAGACAGAUAGUCCCUAACUACUUCCUAUCAAAAUCCCAAAGAGCCUGUGCCUUACUAAAUCUGGCUUAAACCUCUAGUUUUCCUAACCCAAAACAUUUAAAAGGAACUAUAGUAGCAAGUCCAAGUAAUUCAGUUUGUUAGCUGUAUCACCUCUCCCUCCUGUCUCUUUGGAACAGUGUUACAGAUAGAGCUGCUCUGUCCCAAAAGAAAACCAUCAUCUUAUUAAAUGGGGGGAGGGGCACAAGCAACAGGAGUACAUAAAAUGUCAUAUUUCAUUUCUGAAGACAAAGGAAGCAAACAGGUAUGUGCCAACUAUGGAGUAAGCUUGCCUAACCGAAGCUCCAAGACUCCAAAAUGUGUCAGAUGAAGAAGCAUGUAGGUAACUGCUGUGGUGUGAAGGAUUUGGGGUCAGUUGGCUGCUAUGAAACCUACCAUCUCAAAGGAGCAUCUUUUACUUUAUACCUGAACCUAGAAAAAUAAAUCACCCCCACAUAAUAAUCACAAAGUCAUACAUCUUAUUUGCAUUUAGUAAGCACAGGAAGAAACCAAAGCACAGUGAUUUGCCUACAUGAUUUGCCUAAAGGUAGCAGAGCAAAUUGAAUAGCAGACCUUUUCAUAGAAUUUGGUAUCCCAGCUCCUGGUCCUUCGAUCCAUCUAAGAAGCCUUGCUGUCUCUCUUCUCAGAGAGCCUCCUGAAUUACAAAUGAGGAGGAAGGAAACAGCAAGAGUAAAUACACUUAAGCAGAAGUUCACAUUGCCCUGUGGGACUGCCCCCUUCCUUCAUCUUCUAGAAUGUCACUGCUGUAUACUAAGACCUCAGUCAUCCAUAGUGGGGAAGGAAAGAGGCACAGAUAAGAGAAAAAGCCAAAUAUGAGCCAGUAUUCUUUCUAAUAUUUUUUGAAAUGCAGUGACAGUCAAAAGACAUAUAAAUGACACCCUCUGGGUCCCUAAUCUGGGCCUCAGCUGUACACAGGCCUGAAACUUUGGCUGGGUUACUUUCCUGUCCAGAUCUCUUAAGGGCUUUUUGUUGCUGUCUCUUGAAAGUGUGUCAUGUUCAUGUUCUCUUUUCAAUUACAGUGUAUAACGUGAAGAGAACCAGUAGGGNNNNNNNNNNNNGGAAAGACACUUAGAAAGGCACAAAACAUGUAGUCACUGUUAGUUAUUGUUAUAUCCUUAAAGAAGAGCUAAUGGUCUAAAAAUAAAGACUCAUAUAAUCACAUUUUCAUGGGCAGAUUUAUAUUCUUAACAGUAUUUGGUACACCUUUAGAAAAAGAUACAAGUUUUUCCCAGAGUAUAUUCAAUAGAAUGUGCUCAGUAGUUAAGGGACGCGCACCCUCUGAGAAAAGAAAAUGGUAAACAUACUUGUUACAGUUUGGAUCUCAAGUGUUCCCCAAAGGCUCAUAGGCUAAAGGCUGGGUCAUCAGCUUAUGGUGCUAAUGGGACAUGGUAGAACCUUUAGGAGCUGGGGUCUAGUGGAAGGAAGUUAGGUACUUGGGGGUGCCCUUGAAGGGAUGUUAGGAUCCCCACCCCUUUCUGUUACUCUGCUCCAGGUGGUCAUGCAGUAGACAGGUUUCCUCUGCUAUAUGCUUCUGCCAUGAUCUACUGCCUCGUCACAGGCCCAAAAGCAACAAAACCAACCCACUGGGCUGAAAUUGUGAGCCUAAACCUUUUCCUCUUUUAAGUAUAUUUUUGUUUUGUUUUGUUGAGACGAGAUCUUGAACUCACUGUAUUACCCAGACUAGCCUCAAAUUCAUGGUGAUCUUCCUGUCUCAGGCUUCUGAGUGCUGGGAUUAUAGGUAUACAGCAUCAUGCCCAGCUAAACAAUUUUUUCAAAACUAGUAACUGAAGGGAUUUUUAAUCUGAAUUUAGUUGAUAUAAUUUCAGUGGUCUACAGUGACAUCACUAUGUCUCCAGUCGAUAAAAUCUUAAGGAGAAACUGCAAACAGGUUUUAAAAAGAAAUAGCGGCUUUUUAUGGUUUGUGUUUAGAGAACCCCCCCAAAGCCUCAUGUGGAUUAGGUGGGACUUUCUUUUUCAGAGGUAGUUGAAUCUGGACUGUGUGAUGCUGGGGUUACAGGCGUGUGACUAUCAAACUACUACAUGUGAGUGAUCGGUUCAGCUCUGCCCUAAUCCCAAAGGGGCAAAAAGAUGCUGUUAAACCCUCUUGUUGCUUUUUGUGGUCUUCCACCACCAUGAACUGUUGCCUCCCUUUCUACCUUUGCUACCCUGUGCAAGCAAUGUUGUUUCUCCUCUUCAAUGCCUGUUUGCCAUCCCUGCCUUGGAGCCAGCCAACUAUGGACUGAAACCUCCACAAACUAAGCCAAAUAAAGUCCUUCCCCUUCAACUUUGGGUGUCCAGGAUUUUGUCUCGGCAACAAGAGAAAUGUAACCAACACACAGCUUGAAGCACAGAACUGAACCUGGAGUCAGAAGACCUCCAGUAGCAAAUACAAAUAACAGUGUAGUUCACUGGAGCUUUCCCACUGCUCCUCUGUAGCAUGGCAGUUUACUGUCCACAGUCCUGAGACAGACUACUAGGUUCGGAGCAUGGCUCUGUCUUCUUUACAUAAUUUAGGUCAAGUUACUUGAUGUCUCCAAGUCUCAGUUUCCUUAUCUGAAAAGUGGAAAUAACAGUAAGGGUUACCUAUCUCAUGGAAAUACAUGAAGGAUUCUGGUACAUACGUCAAAUAUAAAGGAUUUAGCGUAGUGCUGAGACACAUAGUAAGUGCUCAGAAAUGUUAGUUUGCUCCUAUUUUCACAUUAAGUGGGAUAAAUCAAUCUCUUAUAAGCUUCCCUUUCUUCAUCUGAACUGAGGGCCAUGAUUCUGAGCUGCCUGUUUCACAAUACAUCCAUAAGAAUCAGAUGAUCUGAAGCCUUCAUCAACUGUAAAACAUUAACCAAGGUUAGCAUAGUAAGCAUGUGCAGUCCCAACAGGACUUUGGUCUCUUCAUAAGUCAUUUUCUUAGAACCUAGGAUGCUAGUUUCUCUUAAAUACAGUGUCUCUUCAGACUCCCUUCCUAAGA
rnacentral:lncRNA from 1 species